rnacentral:rRNA from 1 species
GACGAACGCUGGCGGCGUGCCUAAUACAUGCAAGUUGAGCGAUGAAGAUUGGUGCUUGCACCAAUUUGAAGAGCAGCGAACGGGUGAGUAACGCGUGGGGAAUCUGCCUUUGAGCGGGGGACAACAUUUGGAAACGAAUGCUAAUACCGCAUAACAACUUUAAACAUAAGUUUUAAGUUUGAAAGAUGCAAUUGCAUCACUCAAAGAUGAUCCCGCGUUGUAUUAGCUAGUUGGUGAGGUAAAGGCUCACCAAGGCGAUGAUACAUAGCCGACCUGAGAGGGUGAUCGGCCACAUUGGGACUGAGACACGGCCCAAACUCCUACGGGAGGCAGCAGUAGGGAAUCUUCGGCAAUGGACGAAAGUCUGACCGAGCAACGCCGCGUGAGUGAGGAAGGUUUUCGGAUCGUAAAACUCUGUUGGUAGAGAAGAACGUUGGUGAGAGUGGAAAGCUCAUCAAGUGACGGUAACUACCCAGAAAGGGACGGCUAACUACGUG